ACACCAUUAUGUUUCCUUGCCAAUCCCUUAAAAUAUUCGACUACAUAAAACCCCCAAAAAGUUAUCCUGCGCAGAUUCUCAAUGCCUACCAAUCCACUUUUGAUAUUGUUGUAUCAUUUUUUUUUGUUUAUUUGGUACUCUUCCAGAAGCAUUGACUGAUUUUGUUGUUGCAGAUUUUUCUUUUGUUAUUGGUGCAUCACGGAUUUAUAGUUCAGAGAAAGGCGUAUAUCUCAGGUAAACAACAACUUAGCUUCAACUAGCAAUGGGUUUAGAAGAAACUGGAAUGCCACAUCUCAUGGGUGAUUCUCUUUGCACUAAGUAGAGGCAGACAUGGCUCUCACCGGUUUUUUUUCUUCAUAAUGUGAAGAAGCACAAAAAAAAUAGUGGUCACGCCGCAUGGGUUUUGUUUGAAUGGAUCUUCAAGAUGACACUUCAGGUCAGAAAAACACCAUGAAAAUUCUCGUGACAAGCUAUAUGAAUCAACUUAAAAUUUCCCAGAAAAUAACAUUCGUGCCUCACACUUCCAUCUCCCCAAAAAAAGAUCUCAGUUCGCAAUGCUGGUCACAGGUUCCUAUGACCAUCUAUGGAUUCGAAAUGCUGGUUACAGUUCGCAAUGCUGGUCACAGUUUCCAGUGUCUCAGCAAUACCUUUCUAUGACAACACGGACCUACCAGUGGCCCCCAAGUUAACCUGCAAUGCUUCCUAAAUUUUCCCGAUAAACACCUACAAAGAGAUUCAACCAGCUGCCUGAAAAAGGAGGAAGGGCAUCCCUGGAUGACCAUGAUUUCAAUACGAUGGAAUGAAGUAGACUUCAUGGAGACCAAUGAGGUUCUCUUUCUGGAAGGCGCCUGCAACACUUUACGAGGCCGCGACGGAUUCCAAGCCUACUCAGAGAAAACAACUUCAGUAACUAAAGAGAAAAACAGGGGGAGCCACGAUUAACAACAUAACUCUCUCACUUCUACCUCUUCGUUAUCCAGAAUAUUUCGUCCAUGCGAUUUUCCAAGCAUCCCAACAUCCCAUCUAGGAGAGUACAAUAAGCUUGUAUAAAAUCCCAGUGGCGUGGGGACUGAAGCCUUUUUCAGGUUUAGAAGUUUAAACGCAGUCAACACCUUACCAGCGAAUGCAGUAAAAGCACAUCUUCCACGAGAAAAUAGGCUCAGGAUAAUUACACAUGGGGACUACCAGCAUGUGAUGCUUUCACUUCCCUCAACUGGGUUAUUUCUGAUGACAACAUCGUCACUGUCGAAGCUUUACAAGCCGCAGAUUUUUCUCAACAUGAAGCCAUACACGUGCAUCAAAGACUCCAAAAGCACGCCGCUUAGAUAUUCACAUAUCCGGCCACGCCAUCGGAUAUAUGACCAGACAAAAGUGUAAUUGGGGACUGCUCAUCGUAUCCCAUUUGAUACAAUAGCCCAAGAUUCAUAAGAUGGUUCAAAGGAUGUCGCUUGGAAUGAAGUUCUUGAAGACUUGAUAGCAGCACGUCGGAAACGGAACGCCUGUUAGCUCGUCUACUUCACCCAAUGGCUCCGGAAGGUUUCGACCAUAUAAGCUACCAUAUCAUAUCACCACAAUCAAGAAAGGCAAGAAUAAGCCUUCCAGACACCGGGUCAGCAGUCCAGACACCAAAUAACUUAAAGUCAAGGACGGAUCAACAACGCAGCUACAUUCUCCAAGAUUAGCCCUAACAUGAUCAUUGCCGAGCAUAUAUUUCAUCCAUCCAUCCCAGGAAUGCAAUGGAGUUUGGUAAAUUUUGAAAUCCACAGGAGAGGUUAGAUACUCAUUCUAUUGGAGACAGAACCUUAUUACACAUUCUGGAGAAGAUCGAUGAUACUGUUGGGUGGUUGUAUGCGCAAAAGAGAAAAGAGCACCUAACUUGAGUUCUCCUAUCUCACCUUGCUACAUAUUAUAAAUAUUGGAGAUUGCUUUAUUGCCGUUGAUGCUUACUCUACCGCUGCUGACAAAGAACGUCAUUCACGCCGAGCUAAAUGUCCAAGUUUGAUCAACUACUCACGGAUAUUACACUCAUGACUAAAAUACGAAGACGAUUUGCAUGCCUAUGAUCGAGCUGCUGCAAAAAAACACAAGAAGCAGACGAGCUAAUGGUAAAAGGGGAGGAAGUUAGCACGCCCUUUUAUAUGCAUAACGCUUCUGGAAUCCGAGUAGAGGAAUAUUUUCCUUUUGGACCAUACACGGAAGAAGGCAGCUGGGCCCGCAGCGCCAACACUCCAUGGCACCAACCUCCAUGACCGAACCAGCAAUGCUCCAGCACGAGGAACACCAGCCGCUCAACCUGCAAUAAUCCGUGUCCCAAGCCAGCAACGCCAUCAUUACCGCUGCGUGGUUGAAGUAGCAGCUCCAUCAUCACGGCUUUGCGGCCAAAGUCGCAGCGCCGACAUCAAUGGUCCGUGGCCGAAGUUGCAGCGUCAGCAUCAGCCCCAUGGCCUAAAUUGACGCCAACGUUCCGAGAAGCAAAGAUCUAGGGACAAACCAACGCCAGCAACCUGUGGCCAAGCCUGAAAUAUGUCAAGCCGCCAACACAAGGAUCAUAGACGACUCAUGCGUCCUGCCAAAGGUUAGUCGAAUUUUCCUGGCAAUCUCUUCAUGUCUUGCCCUUUCAAUUUUACUCUUAUCUGUCACCAUCUCAUGCUUACCCCGCAACAAUGCCACUGUUCCGAGCUAAGCAUGGGACUUAAUGUUGAUGGUGGUUUUUUGCUUAGGAUUAAAUUGUAAAACCUUGCAUCUG